CUUGGUAUCAACUCCAACCAUUGAAGCUAACAGUUCAAUUUUGUUCUUUGCUUUUCCAUCAUGCAGCACCUCAUCCAAACUCGAGUCAUCAUCAGAUGCAUCACCAUCUACCUCGCUUGACGAGUCGGAGUCUGAGUAGUUCUCAAAAGAAUGUUCCUCAUGAGUAGGGACAUCAGAAUAUCCUUCACCUGGUACAAAGAAUACAGAAUUACAUCUGUUAGUGUUGCCUUUUGUAUUCUCUAGCACAUUGAAAUUCAUGGGGUAGAUGUUGUAUUGUUCUUGUUUAGCAAAGGUUUGCAGUUGCUGCAGUUCCUUUGAGUUUUCUCUGACAUCCAUUGUUGAUGUUGAAUGAGGAGGAACAUUACACAAAGGUGUUUAUAUAUACGAGGAUUGAGUGCAGUACUGGUCCUGAAAUGUCAUAAUGAGGACCGUUAUAAAACGAAGAAAACGUAGAAAGCAAAAGUUAUGAGGUAAUUAUGAUAAUAAUUCAAUUGGACCCUGGUUUUGGAAAUUUGAGUAAGGUCGCAUCCUUCUUUUGAAGUGUUAUUAUGGCCCCAUGACACUGCUGUUUUACUAUAUUUGACUUCUGUGGUUUUGCACCCUAUAUUAUAUUCUUCUUGCAAGUUAUUGAUAUAUGUUGCAAACUUCAAAGUAGUUUGAUUCAAGUGAUAUACCCUAUAUUAAUUUGGUAGUAAAAUUCACAUUUGCACACAAAAAUCUCAAGGAAAAAGUCACUAUCAAUUUUUAAUGUAAUUUUAUUUUUUUUUUCCCCAUCAAUUGUAU
rnacentral:lncRNA from 1 species